CCCAUUACUUAUAGUUUAAGAAAAAUAGACCAAAACACAAAAACUUAACACUGUGCAAUGAACCGUGAAAAUGAGGUCACGGUCAAAUAAAACCUGCGCAACUGACAUAAAGAUCAUAAAAUAUUUCCAUACACCAAAUAUAGUUGACCUAUGGCAUACAGUAUUAGAUAAAAAGACCGAAACUCAAAAACUUAACUUUGACCACUGAACCAUGAAAAUGAGGUCAAGGUCACAUGACAUCUGCCUGCUAGACAUGUACACCUUACAAUCAUUCCAUACAACAAAUAUAGUAGACCUAUUGCAUAUAGUAUGAGAAAAAUAGACCAAAACACAAAAAUUUAACUAUAACCACUGAACCAUGAAAAUGAGGUCAAGGUCAGAUGACACCUGCCAGUUGGACAUGUACACCUUACAGGCCUUCCAUACACCGA
rnacentral:lncRNA from 1 species